GUGUUACUAAAGAUCAAUAUGGGUCAAAUUGCUUUGCAUCAAUUUGUUGUAUGGUGGUCGUUCGACGGGUUAACGUGUCUCUGACCAUGGGGCUUUAAAUCCAGGGCUCGAUUCUACUCGCUAAACUGAGCUACUUUUAUUAUGGCACCAACCCCGAAAUCCCAAAAAAAAAAAAACUUUUUCAUACAUUUUGGCUGAUCAGAUGUCGACGUUUUCUAUGGAAAAGUCAAA